AACGAUUAGGUAAAACUGACGGAUUAGAUGAUUUCCUCGCAAGGGGUUAUCGUUUGAGAAGUUAGUUAAAUCUCAUUGUUUAGAGGAAGGAGAAGUCGUAACAAGGUAUCCGUAGGUGAACCUGCGGAUGGAUCAUUUC
rnacentral:rRNA from 1 species